UAUAUACUCCUUCUGUUCGGAAUUACUUGUCUUGAAUAUAAAUGUAUCUAAAACUAAAAUGCAUCUAGAUACAUCCAUUUCUGCGACAAGUAAUUCCGAACGGAGGGAGUACUAC
rfam:Triticum urartu cultivar G1812 contig767615, whole genome shotgun sequence.